AGCCUACUCUAGCCCGACCCAACUCCCCCCAAACCCCACCCACCCAACCGACCACACCCCCCCAACUAAAACAUUCUGACCCCCCCCCAGUAUAGGCGAUAGAAGAGGGACCCCCCCCCCCCACGGCGCGAUAGAGCUAAGUACCGCAAGGGAACGAUGAAAUAAAAGUGAAAACCAAAGCAAUAAGAAGCAAAGCCUAACCCUUGUACCUUUCGCAUCAUGGUUUAGCAAGAACAACCAAGCAAAGCGGACUUAAGCUUGCCACCCCGAAACCCAAGCGAGCUACUUACGAGCAGCUACCCAUGAGCAAACCCGUCUCUGUUGCAAAAGAGUGGGAUGACUCGUCAGUAGAGGUGAAAAGCCAACCGAGCUGGGUGAUAGCUGGUUGCCUGCGAAAAGAAUCAAAGUUCCCCCCCGAUCCACUCCCCACAGACCAAAAAAAGCUAAUAUGUAGCGAAUCUGGAGUAAUUCAAAGGAGGUACAGCUCCUUCGAAAAAGAACACAACCCCCCCCAGAGGAUACCCCCCCCACGCCACACACCUGUGGGCCUUUAAGCAGCCACCAACAAAGAGUGCGUCAAAGCUCUACAACCUAAAAAAAUCAAGAAACAGUGAAAAUCCCUCCCCACUAGCAGGCCAAUCUAUAAAAAUAGAAGAAUUAAUACUAAAAUGAGUAACUUGGGACCCUCCCCCUCUAAGACGCAAACUUACAUCACCGCAUUAUUAACAAACACCUAAUGCUUAAACUCAAACAAGAGGCCAGCAUUAACCCACCUUGUUACACCAACCCAGGAGCGUCCACCAGAAAGAUUAAAACCUGUAAAAGGAACUAGGCAAACCAAGGGCCCGACUGUUUACCAAAAACAUAGCCUUCAGCAACCCAAGUAUUGAAGGUGACGCCUGCCCAGUGACACCACGUUCAACGGCCGCGGUAUCCUAACCGUGCGAAGGUAGCGCAAUCAAUUGUCCCAUAAAUCGAGACCGGUAUGAACGGCUAAACGAGGUCCUAACUGUCUCCUACAGGCAAUCAGUGAAAUUGAUCCCCCUGUGCCAAAGCAGGAAUACACCCAUAAGACGAGAAGACCCUGUGGAACUUAAAAAUCAGUGACCACCACACAUAACUCCCCUGGCCCAUAGGCCCCUAUCAAACCACUCACGCUGGCCCACAUUUUUUGGUUGGGGCGACCUUGGAGAAAAACUAAUCCUCCAAAGCUAAGAGCACACCUCUUGACCCAGAGCAACCCCUCAAAGUGCCAACAGCAACCAGACCCAAGACAACUUGACCAAUGGACCAAGCUACCCCAGGGAUAACAGCGCAAUCCCCCUCAAGAGCCCAUAUCGACAGGGGGGUUUACGACCUCGAUGUUGGAUCAGGACACCCUAAUGGUGCAGCCGCUAUUAAGGGUUCGUUUGUUCAACGAUUAACAGUCCUACGUGAUCUGAGUUCAGACCGGAGCAAUCCAGGUCGGUUUCUAUCUAUGCUAGACUUUCUCUAGUACGAAAGGACCGAGAAAGUGGGGCCUAUACUACAAGCAUGCCCCCCCCAAAGUAGUGAACCCAACUCAAACUACCAAAAAGGGCCCAUCACUUUGCCCAAGACAAGGGCC
rnacentral:rRNA from 1 species